AUACAGUGAUGUGAGUAGUCUACUAUGAUGAGGUCCAUUUUGAAGGAGACAUACAGUGAUGUGAGUAGUCUACUAUGAUGAGGUCCAUUUUGAAGGAGACAUACAGUGAUGUGAGUAGUCUACUAUGAUGAGGUCCAUUUUGAAGGAGACAUACAGUGAUGUGAGUAGUCUACUAUGAUGAGGUCCAUUUUGAAGGAGACAUACAGUGAUGUGAGUAGUCUACUAUGAUGAGGUCCAUUUUGAAGGAGACAUACAGUGAUGUGAGUAGUCUACUAUGAUGAGGUCCAUUUUGAAGGAGACAUACAGUGAUGUGAGUAGUCUACUAUGAUGAGGUCCAUUUUGAAGGAGUAUUACAGUGAUGUGAGUAGUCUACUAUGAUGAGGUCCAUUUUGAAGGAGACAUACAGUGAUGUGAGUAGUCUACUAUGAUGAGGUCCAUUUUGAAGGAGACAUACAGUGAUGUGAGUAGUCUACUAUGAUGAGGUCCAUUUUGAAGGAGACAUACAGUGAUGUGAGUAGUCUACUAUGAUGAGGUCCAUUCUGAAGGAGACAUACAGUGAUGUGAGUAGUCUACUAUGAUGAGGUCCAUUUUGAAGGAGUCAUACAGUGAUGUGAAUAGUCUACUAUGAUGAGGUCCAUUUUGAAGGAGACAUACAGUGAUGUGAGUAGUCUACUAUGAUGAGGUCCAUUUUGAAGGAGUAUUACAGUGAUGUGAGUAGUCUACUAU